GGUUAAGCGACUAAGCGUACACGGUGGAUGCCCUGGCAGUCAGAGGCGAUGAAGGACGUGCUAAUCUGCGAUAAGCGUCGGUAAGGUGAUAUGAACCGUUAUAACCGGCGAUUUCCGAAUGGGGAAACCCAGUGUGAUUCGUCACACUAUCAUUAACUGAAUCCAUAGGUUAAUGAGGCGAACCGGGGGAACUGAAACAUCUAAGUACCCCGAGGAAAAGAAAUCAACCGAGAUUCCCCCAGUAGCGGCGAGCGAACGGGGAGCAGCCCAGAGCCUGAAUCAGUGUGUGUGUUAGUGGAAGCGUCUGGAAAGGCGUGCGAUACAGGGUGACAGCCCCGUACACAAAAAUGCACAUACUGUGAGCUCGAUGAGUAGGGCGGGACACGUGGUAUCCUGUCUGAAUAUGGGGGGACCAUCCUCCAAGGCUAAAUACUCCUGACUGACCGAUAGUGAACCAGUACCGUGAGGGAAAGGCGAAAAGAACCCCGGCGAGGGGAGUGAAAAAGAACCUGAAACCGUGUACGUACAAGCAGUGGGAGCACGCUUAGGCGUGUGACUGCGUACCUUUUGUAUAAUGGGUCAGCGACUUAUAUUCUGUAGCAAGGUUAACCGAAUAGGGGAGCCGAAGGGAAACCGAGUCUUAACUGGGCGUUAAGUUGCAGGGUAUAGACCCGAAACCCGGUGAUCUAGCCAUGGGCAGGUUGAAGGUUGGGUAACACUAACUGGAGGACCGAACCGACUAAUGUUGAAAAAUUAGCGGAUGACUUGUGGCUGGGGGUGAAAGGCCAAUCAAACCGGGAGAUAGCUGGUUCUCCCCGAAAGCUAUUUAGGUAGCGCCUCGUGAAUUCAUCUCCGGGGGUAGAGCACUGUUUCGGCAAGGGGGUCAUCCCGACUUACCAACCCGAUGCAAACUGCGAAUACCGGAGAAUGUUAUCACGGGAGACACACGGCGGGUGCUAACGUCCGUCGUGAAGAGGGAAACAACCCAGACCGCCAGCUAAGGUCCCAAAGUCAUGGUUAAGUGGGAAACGAUGUGGGAAGGCCCAGACAGCCAGGAUGUUGGCUUAGAAGCAGCCAUCAUUUAAAGAAAGCGUAAUAGCUCACUGGUCGAGUCGGCCUGCGCGGAAGAUGUAACGGGGCUAAACCAUGCACCGAAGCUGCGGCAGCGACGCUUAUGCGUUGUUGGGUAGGGGAGCGUUCUGUAAGCCUGUGAAGGUGUGCUGUGAGGUAUGCUGGAGGUAUCAGAAGUGCGAAUGCUGACAUAAGUAACGAUAAAGCGGGUGAAAAGCCCGCUCGCCGGAAGACCAAGGGUUCCUGUCCAACGUUAAUCGGGGCAGGGUGAGUCGACCCCUAAGGCGAGGCCGAAAGGCGUAGUCGAUGGGAAACAGGUUAAUAUUCCUGUACUUGGUGUUACUGCGAAGGGGGGACGGAGAAGGCUAUGUUGGCCGGGCGACGGUUGUCCCGGUUUAAGCGUGUAGGCUGGUUUUC
rnacentral:rRNA from 1 species